rnacentral:misc_RNA from 1 species
AGAAAGAGGACUGGAAAUCUCUUGGCUUCCAUGAAGAGGAGAAAGAUAAUGUGAAAAAUGCUACAUAAUAUCACAGACAUUCAAAACUAGAAAUUUUAACCCUUCAUCUGUGAUAAAAAAAUGUUUUCUAAUCAUAUUUGAUGUAAGAAGCUAGAUUAUAUCUAAGCAGAAUUUUGUGUAAAUUUGAAGGUUAUGCAUUACAUGUAUUUAUGUACAUGUAACUUUGUGAGUAAGCCAAGUAAUCUGACUUUUUGAUGUACAUGAUUGUUUCAAAGUGUGUAAUAUAAAUAAAGUCUUUCAAUUUC